CAACGGAGACAUUCUCUUGUCGUUUUCACUUUCCAUAGGUCAUCAAAACCCAACAGUCGGCAGCUUUCCAGCGAUAUCAAACCCGACCCAUCAAGAUUCGGACCAUUCCGGAUCAACCCGGUUACCCAAAAUCCAACCUUUACCUCUUUAAUUCUCCGAAAGUUCGAAACUUUGAAAAUGAAUCCAUCGCGACUCUUCUUCUCCGGCGAUGGACGUUUCACACCGUUAGAGUUUCCAUCUUUAAGAUUGAAGACGAUGAUGAUGAUCAUCGAGCUAGGUAAAGUUUCCCUCUUUAAGAUUGUAUACAAAUGUUGAAGUGAAUGUACUCUUUACUCUGUUUCAUUGAUGUUACUCUUGAUGCAUCCUAAUUAGUUUUGUAUGUCUUUAUUGCUAUUAAUAUUUUAGGAAGAGAUAGAAAGGCUUUCUUUUUUUCUUUUUUUUUUUGAACACAGAGAGGCUUUCAAAAUGCAAGUUUCUGACUGUAAAGAACUCUGAGAAAGUGAAUGGCCAAGUCCUGGAAACUCAAGGAGGGAUAUCUAGCGAUGAUGCAGAGUGUAGCAGCAUUCGUCUGUGGUAGAGCUUCCUUGUAGGCACCACUUCCACAGUUUUUGUGUAGACAAAUGGCUAAGGAUCAACAUAGUUGGCAGUGAACAAGUGUGAGAGAAGGAAGAAGCUUGGUUUCUCACUUGCUCUCUUGAGUUCAUGUAUGCGAAUGUCAUGAGCUCAUCAUCAUCACACACUGCUUUACACCUCGUUUAUUUUUUGACCAAUACAGAGGAAAGAACAAGAAGUUUUGUUUUGAAAACAAAGCCGAACUUCUUGUUUUUGUUUCUAAUCGUUUUUAUGUAGUUGUAAAUGCAAUAAGUAAAUAGUUCGGCUGAACAAAAUGUUUCUCGAGGUCAUUGUGGUGAGGUGGAUCAGAGAAUGCGAAUACAGUUUAUUUUUAUUUUCUUA